GAUGAACGCUGGCGGCGUGCUUAACACAUGCAAGUCGAACGAAGCAUUUAAGACAGAUUACUUCGGUUUGAAGUCUUUUAUGACUGAGUGGCGGACGGGUGAGUAACGCGUGGGUAACCUGCCUCAUACAGGGGGAUAGCAGCUGGAAACGGCUGGUAAUACCGCAUAAGCGCACAGUACCACAUGGUACAGUGUGAAAAACUCCGGUGGUAUGAGAUGGACCCGCGUCUGAUUAGCUUGUUGGCGGGGUAACGGCCCACCAAGGCGACGAUCAGUAGCCGAACUGAGAGGGUGACCGGCCACAUUGGGACUGAGACACGGCCCAGACUCCUACGGGAGGCAGCAGUGGGGAAUAUUGCACAAUGGAGGAAACUCUGAUGCAGCGACGCCGCGUGAGUGAAGAAGUAGUUCGCUAUGUAAAGCUCUAUCAGCAGGGAAGAUAGUGACGGUACCCGACGAAGAAGCUCCGGCUAAAUACGUG
rnacentral:rRNA from 1 species